ACUCCUACGGGAGGCAGCAGUGGGAAUAUUGCACAAUGGGGAAAGCCCAUCGAUGCAGCCAUGCCGCGUGUGUGAAGAAGGCCUUCGGGUUGUAAAGCACUUUCAGCGAGGAGGAAAGGGUGUGUGCUAAUACCAUACAUCUGUGACGUUACUCGCAGAAGAAGCACCGGCUAACUCCGUGCCAGCAGCCGCGGUAAUACGGAGGGUGCGAGCGUUAAUCGGAAUUACUGGGCGUAAAGCGUGCGCAGGCGGUUUGUUAAGCGAGAUGUGAAAGCCCGGCUCAG
rnacentral:rRNA from 1 species